rnacentral:rRNA from 1 species
AACACAUGCAAGUCGAACGGUAAGGCCCUUUCGGGGGUACACGAGUGGCGAACGGGUGAGUAACACGUGAGUAACCUGCCCUCAUCUCUGGGAUAACAGUCGGAAACGGUUGCUAAUACUGGAUAUGAGCUUGCAAGGCAUCUUGUGGGUUGGAAAGAUUUUUUUGGUUGGGGAUGGACUCGCGGCCUAUCAGCUUGUUGGUGAGGUAGUGGCUCACCAAGGCUUCGACGGGUAGCCGGCCUGAGAGGGCGACCGGCCACAUUGGGACUGAGAUACGGCCCAAACUCCUACGGGAGGCAGCAGUGGGGAAUAUUGCACAAUGGACGGAAGUCUGAUGCAGCAACGCCGCGUGCGGGAUGACGGCCUUCGGGUUGUAAACCGCUUUCAAUUGUGACGAAGCUUUUUGUGACGGUAGCAGUAGAAGAAGCACCGGCUAACUACGUGCCAGCAGCCGCGGUGAUACGUAGGGUGCGAGCGUUGUCCGGAUUUAUUGGGCGUAAAGAGCUUGUAGGCGGUUUGUCGCGUCGGGAGUGAAAACUUGGGGCUUAACCCUGAGCUUGCUUUCGAUACGGGCUGACUUGAGGGAGGUAGGGGAGAAUGGAAUUCCUGGUGGAGCGGUGGAAUGCGCAGAUAUCAGGAGGAACACCGGUGGCGAAGGCGGUUCUCUGGACCUUUCCUGACGCUGAGAAGCGAAAGCGUGGGGAGCGAACAGGCUUAGAUACCCUGGUAGUCCACGCCGUAAACGGUGGGUACUAGGUGUGGGGGACAUUCCACGUUCUCCGUGCCGUAGCUAACGCAUUAAGUACCCCGCCUG